CGAUGCAACAUACCACUUGUUGCCUCGGCGGAUCAGCCCGCUCCCGGUAAAACGGGACGGCCCGCCAGAGGACCCCUAAACUCUGUUUCUAUAUGUAACUUCUGAGUAAAACCAUAAAUAAAUCAAAACUUUCAACAACGGAUCUCUUGGUUCUGGCAUCGAUGAAGAACGCAGCAAAAUGCGAUAAGUAAUGUGAAUUGCAGAAUUCAGUGAAUCAUCGAAUCUUUGAACGCACAUUGCGCCCGCCAGUAUUCUGGCGGGCAUGCCUGUUCGAGCGUCAUUUCAACCCUCAAGCACAGCUUGGUGUUGGGACUCGCGUUAAUUCGCGUUCCUCAAAUUGAUUGGCGGUCACGUCGAGCUUCCAUAGCGUAGUAGUAAAACCCUCGUUACUGGUAAUCGUCGCGGCCACGCCGUUAAACCCCAACUUCUGAAUGUUGACCUCGGAUCAGGUAGGAAUACCCGCUGAACUUAAGCAUAUCAAAAGCCCGGAGGAA
rnacentral:rRNA from 1 species